GACGAACGCUGGCGGUGUGCUUAACACAUGCAAGUCGAACGAUGAAGCCGGAGCUUGCUCUGGUGAAUUAGUGGCGAACGGGUGAGUAACACGUGAGUAACCUGCCCUUGACUCUGGGAUAACUGCGGGAAACUGUAGCUAAUACCGGAUACGACCCUCGGAGGCAUCUCCUGGGGGUGGAAAGAAUUUCGGUCAAGGAUGGACUCGCGGCCUAUCAGCUAGUUGGUGAGGUAACGGCUCACCAAGGCGACGACGGGUAGCCGGCCUGAGAGGGUGACCGGCCACACUGGGACUGAGACACGGCCCAGACUCCUACGGGAGGCAGCAGUGGGGAAUAUUGCACAAUGGGCGCAAGCCUGAUGCAGCAACGCCGCGUGAGGGAUGACGGCCUUCGGGUUGUAAACCUCUUUUAGUAGGGAAGAAGCGAAAGUGACGGUACCUGCAGAAGAAGCACCGGCUAACUACGUGCCAGCAGCCGCAGUAA
rnacentral:rRNA from 1 species